rnacentral:misc_RNA from 1 species
AACCCUCUACCCUAGUCUUUUUUUCUUGGGCAGGAAUACUGGGAGCCUCUCGGUCCAUCCAUCAUCGGCGGGACCUUGAAGCUUCUGAAAUACAUUUAGGCCUGGAACAUGUUUUUCAAAAAUGUGCCCCGAACUUUUUUUUUAAUAUAAAGGAAAAGCUCUCGGUAUAUUUUUCUUCUGAAGAAUAUUUUUUAGUUGUGGGGCCUCCCAAAUAAAUCACCCUCAA